rnacentral:tRNA from 1 species
GCCUGGCUAGCUCAAUCGGUAGAGCGUGAGACUCUUACUAAAUCUCAAGGCUGUGGGUUCAAGCCCCACGUCGGGCU